rnacentral:lncRNA from 1 species
UGUAAGCAAAGCUCCAGAGGAAAGUCUUGAGUUUUUAAAAAAAUAUAUUUAUUUAUUUUCAUUUUAAAUGUAUGCAUUCUUAUGUAUAUCUAUCUGUACCACAUGUAUGCCUGAUGCCUGUUGAGGCCAGAAGAGGGUAUUGGUUCCCCUGGACCUGGAAUUACAGACAGUUGCUAGCAGCCAUGUGGGUACUGGGCAUUGAACCCAGGUCCUUAGGAAGAACAGGAAAUGCUCUUAAUACACCAAUUCAUCUCUCCAGUACCCCACCUCUCACUCCCUGUAUGUAUGUAUGUAUGUAUGUAUGUAUGUAUGUAUGUAUGUAUUUUGGUAAAGGUUCUCAUUAUGUGGCCCUGAGUGGCCUGGAAUUCAACCUGUAGACUACUUCACCUGCCCUUGAAUAUUUACUUAUUUAUUUUUGCUCCUGUGAAAUUAUUUCUCUAUGAUAAAUUCCUAGAACUCCCUUGUUGACAUGUUUUAUGAAUGCACUUAACAACGGUGCACGUCAAGACGGGCUGUCCUUUACCUGCUUGUCUACUGACUUGUUGGUUCAUGAAAGUUUAUUAUAUUAUUAAAGAUGUUGAGUCCCAAAGAAACAGACUCUGAAACAGAUCCCCAUAUAGGCGUUAUUGGGGAGUUCCCAGUAUCAACACCUAAGGGGGUGAGUGCACCUGCUUGCUUCCUAUUGCUGUAAUAAAACUCUACAACAAAAGCAACUCGGGGAGGAAGGGGUUAAUUUGGCUUACAGUCUAUCAUCUGAGGAGCCAGGCAGGAACUCAAGGCAGGAACUGAAGCAGAGACCAUGAAGGAGUGCUGUUUACUGGCCUGCUCCCCAUGGCUUGCUCAGCCUGCUCAUGCAACCAAGGACCACCAGCCCAGGGACAGCACCACUCACAAUGAGCUGCCCAACUCCCCGACAACCAUUAAUCACUGCUUUUGUUGUUUUGGGUUUGUGUAUGUGUGUAUUUGUGUAUCUAUGUUUGUUUGUGUGUGUGGGUGUGUGGUUUGCAAGUGUGUGUAUGUAUGUGUGUGUAUCUGUGUGUAUAUUUGUGGGGGUGUGUGUUUGCAAGUAUGUGCAUGUAUAUGUGUGUGUAUCUGUGUCUAUGUGUGUAUUUGUGUGUGUAUGUGUGUGUAUGUGUUUGUGUGUGUAUGUAUGGUGUGUGUGUUGUGUGUGUGUGUUUGUGUGUCUGAGUGUGUGUGUGUGUGUGUGUGUGUGUGUGUGUGUAAAAAGCAGCAGGAUGGAUAGGAGGAAGAAGUGAAGGAAGGCCAAUUUCCAGCACCCAAACGUGGCAAAUGACCACUGUAACUUCAGUUCUAGAGAAUCUGACUCCUUCCAUACCAGGCAUGCACGUGGUACACAGACAUACCUGUAGGCAAAUCAGCAAUGCACAUAAAAAGAAAACUUGCCAUUUGAACACUUACAGUGAAAGUAAAGUGACUGUAUUAUUCUGUUCUUUUUUCUCCUGUUUCUCUUUAGGACUUGGGUGACAAUAAACUUGCCAGAUGAUGUCUUCUAGA